rnacentral:rRNA from 1 species
GACAGAGGGUGCGAACGUUGUUCGGAAUUACUGGGCGUAAAGCGCGUGUAGGCGGCAGCGUGUGUCGGGCGUGAAAUCCCACGGCUCAACCGUGGAAGUGCACUCGAAACUGCGCAGCUAGAGUCCUGGAGAGGAAGGUGGAAUGCUUGGUGUAGAGGUGAAAUUCGUAGAUAUCAAGCGGAACACCGGUGGCGAAGGCGACCUUCUGGACAGUGACUGACGCUGAGACGCGAAAGCGUGGGGAGCAAACAGG